ACUCAAAUGAAUUGACGGGGGCCCGCACAAGCGGUGGAGCAUGUGGUUCAAUUCGACGCAACGCGAAGAACCUUACCCAGGCUUGAACUGUCAGUGACAUCCUCCGAAAGGGGGCUCCCGCAAGGGCACUGAUAGAGGUGCUGCAUGGCUGUCGUCAGCUCGUGUCGUGAGAUGUUGGGUUAAGUCCCGCAACGAGCGCAACCCUUGUUUGCUGUUGCCAUCAGGUUAUGCUGGGCACUCUGCAAAGACUGCCGGUGAUAAACCGGAGGAAGGUGGGGAUGACGUCAAGUCAGCAUGGCCUUUAUGUCUGGGGCUACACACGUGCUACAAUGGCCGAUACAAACCGUCGCGAGCCCGCAAGGGGGAGCUAAUCGGAGAAAGUCGGUCUCAGUUCGGAUAGCAGGCUGCAACUCGCCUGCUUGAAGUUGGAAUCGCUAGUAAUCGCGGAUCAGCACGCCGCGGUGAAUACGUUCCCGGGCCUUGCACACACCGCCCGU
rnacentral:rRNA from 1 species